rfam:Pestalotiopsis fici W106-1 unplaced genomic scaffold PFICI_Scf_10, whole genome shotgun sequence.
ACAUACGACCAUACGCACUAGAAAAUACGGCAUCCCGUCCGCUCUGCCCUAGUCAAACUGGUGACGGCUGGAUUAGUACUCAGAUCGGUGACGGCUGGGGAAUCCCCGGUGUUGUAUGUU